AACGAACGCUGGCGGCAGGCUUAACACAUGCAAGUCGAACGCCCCGCAAGGGGAGUGGCAGACGGGUGAGUAACGCGUGGGAAUCUACCCAGUUCUACGGAACAACACAGGGAAACUUGUGCUAAUACCGUAUACGCCCCAAGGGGGAAAGAUUUAUCGGAAUUGGGUGAGCCCGCGUUGGAUUAGCUAGUUGGUGAGGUAAUGGCUCACCAAGGCGACGAUCCAUAGCUGGUCUGAGAGGAUGAUCAGCCACACUGGGACUGAGACACGGCCCAGACUCCUACGGGAGGCAGCAGUGGGGAAUAUUGGACAAUGGGCGCAAGCCUGAUCCAGCCAUGCCGCGUGAGUGAUGAAGGCCUUAGGGUUGUAAAGCUCUUUCAGUGGGGAAGAUAAUGACGGUACCCACAGAAGAAGCCCCGGCUAACUUCGUG
rnacentral:rRNA from 1 species